CCAGUGGACGGGAGAUGCAGAGACAGAAUAGAAAACAGCCACAGCACUGCAGGGGCCCAGCCGGCUGGUCUCUCUCGGCCCGUACAGAGCGUGAAGGGAGGACCGAUCACGGACCGAUCGCUGGACCGUCCAGCCGGAGUCUCGUCCGUAGGAGUCCCAACCACCCUCAGCAGAUCUAGAGACCAUCCAGAACUUCAAGGAGAGUCUGGCAGCUCCGGAGAAGUUCCAGAAUUGCAGGGAGAGUUCAGCAUCCUUGGAGAAGUCCAGAACCAUAGGGAGAAUCCAGCCGCUCCUGGGAGGAUCCAGAACUCCCGAGUCAUCUGUAGGAUCCGGACUCUCAAGACAGAGCAGAUGUGACCUCACGGAGCCCAGGAGCUGCCCCCAUCCCCGAUGGCCCAGAAGUCAUGUGGGAUAAGGGGAACCCCAUCUCUCUCUGUUUUUCCAUUCCAAGAUUCCCGCCCACUCUUCAGUCAGUGCUCUUUCCCCACCCAGCCCGAGCACCUUCCGGCUCUGAGCCACCCUCCAGGAUCAAAAUUCUGCCCUCGCGACAAGCAUCUGGCUCUGGGCGGCGGCCUCCGGGAAGGAGAGGAAGCGGAUGACGCUGAUGAUGGCGGAUGGGCUCCAGAGAACCCCGGGACCCGAGUGUGGAUAAAGGGAGAGGAGGAUUCGAAGACAGAGUCGAGGCAAUGGCCUGAGAGACGGGCAGUGGCGGCAGUGGUGUCCACCGUGGUCUGAGAAUCAGAAUCCAGCCAACAGCAGAGAAGUUUGGGAACCAAGCCAUCCAUCCUGUUCAUCACCUUGAGCUGGAGGCAGGGGGCUGGACCGAUUGGCCCUUCCCUGGAGGUCUCCUCCAGCUAUUUAAGUCCAAUGAUUCCCCAAAGGUUUUCCAGGUUUCGUGAAGAUUGAUUUAUUUCUCCCCUGGGGUCGAUGAGUUCAGGGAUCAUCUCUCUUUAUUGCUGUGUCGUACU